CAUAGGUUAAUGAGGCGAACCGGGGGAACUGAAACAUCUAAGUACCCCGAGGAAAAGAAAUCAACCGAGAUUCCCCCAGUAGCGGCGAGCGAACGGGGAGCAGCCCAGAGCCUGAAUCAGUGUGUGUGUUAGUGGAAGCGUCUGGAAAGGCGCGCGAUACAGGGUGACAGCCCCGUACACAAAAAUGCACAUGCUGUGAGCUCGAUGAGUAGGGCGGGACACGUGGUAUCCUGUCUGAAUAUGGGGGGACCAUCCUCCAAGGCUAAAUACUCCUGACUGACCGAUAGUGAACCAGUACCGUGAGGGAAAGGCGAAAAGAACCCCGGCGAGGGGAGUGAAAAAGAACCUGAAACCGUGUACGUACAAGCAGUGGGAGCCUCUUUAUGG
rnacentral:rRNA from 1 species